rnacentral:rRNA from 1 species
AGCAGCCGCGGUAAUUCCAGCUCCAAUAGCGUAUAUUAAAGUUGUUGCAGUUAAAAAGCUCGUAGUUGAAUUUCGGGGUCAGUAGGUUGGUCAUGCCACUGGUAUGUACUGGUCUCACUGAUUCCUCCUUCCUGAUGAGCCGUAAUGCCAUUAAUUUGGUGUUGCGAGGAAUCUGGACUGUUACUUUGAAAAAAUUAGAGUGUUUAAAGCAGGCUAACGCUUGAAUACAUUAGCAUGGAAUAAUGAAAUAGGACGUUCGAUCUUAUUUUGUUGGUUUCUAAGAUUGACGUAAUGAUUAAUAGGGAUAGUUGGGGGCAUUAGUAUUCAAUUGUCAGAGGUGAAAUUCUUGGAUUUAUUGAAGACUAACUACUGCGAAAGCAUUUGCCAAGGAUGUUUUCAUUAAUCAAGAACGAAAGUUAGGGGAUCGAAGACGAUCAGAUACCGUCGUAGUCUUAACCAUAAACUAUGCCGACUAGGGAUCGGA